rnacentral:rRNA from 1 species
CGCGCAGGUGGUUUCUUAAGUCUGAUGUGAAAGCCCACGGCUCAACCGUGGAGGGUCAUUGGAAACUGGGGAACUUGAGUACAGAAGAGGAAAGUGGAAUUCCAAGUGUAGCGGUGAAAUGCGUAGAGAUUUGGAGGAACACCAGUGGCGAAGGCGACUUUCUGGUCUGUAACUGACACUGAGGCGCGAAAGCGUGGGGAGCGAACA